UGCCCCCUAGCCCUUGUGUGUCCUGGUGUUGUUGACCCUACCCUUGUGUGUCCUGGUGUGUUUGUGACCCUAGCCCAUUGUGUGUCCUGGUGUGUUUGUUGACCCUACCCAUUGUGGUCUGGGUGUGUUUGUUGACCCUAGGCCACAUUGGGUGUCCUGUGUGUUUGUUGAACCUAGCCCAUUGUGUGUCCUGGUUGUUGUUGACCCUAGCCAUUGUGUGUCCUGUGUGUUUGUUGACCCUUAACCCAUUGUGUGUACUGGUUGUGUUUGUUGACCCUAGCCCAUUGUGUGUCCUGGUGUGUUUGUUGACCCUAACCCAUUGUGUGUCCUGGUGUGUUUGUUGACCCUAGCCCAUUGUGUGUCCUGGUGUGUUUGUUGACCCUA
rnacentral:lncRNA from 1 species